GUCCAACGACAGGGGAGCGCCCUAGCGCUGAGAGUGCGGUUCGCCGCAGACCCUCGAACCUGAUCCGGUUAGCACCGGCGAAGGGAGUCGGGAAUCUCAGGUG
rnacentral:ncRNA from 2 species